GGCAGCGUGGGGUAGUGGUUUGGGCACUGGACUACGACUCUGGAGACCGAGGUUGGAAUCCCCCUUCGGCCA